AUGCACGCUGGCGGCGUGCUUCACACAUGCAAGUCGAACGAAGCACUUUAACCUGAUUCUUCGGAUGAAGGUUUUUGUGACUGAGUGGCGGACGGGUGAGUAACGCGUGGGUAACCUGCCUCAUACAGGGGGAUAACAGUUAGAAAUGACUGCUAAUACCGCAUAAGACCACAGAGCCGCAUGGCUCGGUGGGAAAAACUCCGGUGGUAUGAGAUGGACCCGCGUCUGAUUAGGUAGUUGGUGGGGUAACGGCCUACCAAGCCAACGAUCAGUAGCCGACCUGAGAGGGUGACCGGCCACAUUGGGACUGAGACACGGCCCAAACUCCUACGGGAGGCAGCAGUGGGGAAUAUUGCACAAUGGGGGAAACCCUGAUGCAGCGACGCCGCGUGAGCGAAGAAGUAUUUCGGUAUGUAAAGCUCUAUCAGCAGGGAAGAAAAUGACGGUACCUGACGAAGAAGCACCGGCUAAAUACGUG
rnacentral:rRNA from 1 species